CACGAGUGUUUACACUUGGUGGCGACCGGCGCAAGGGUGCGUAACGCGUGAGCAACAUGCCCGUAUCAGGGGGAUAAUCCAGGGAAACUUGGUCUAAUACCGCAUAAUAAAUCUUGAAGGCAUCUUCAUGGAUUUAAAAUUUCGAUGGAUACGGAUUGGCUCGCGUGACAUUAGCUAGAUGGUAAGGUAACGGCUUACCAUGGCAAUGAUGUCUAGGGGUUCUGAGAGGAAGGUCCCCCACACUGGAACUGAGACACGGUCCAGACUCC
rnacentral:rRNA from 1 species